AAAACGGAGCCGUCUCCGCCCCCGUUACUGCUCCGUUCUAUUCUUUCCCCUUCUCCGCUGAAAGGUACUCGUCUAGCGUACAGGAAGAUAGAGCAUGAGGAGCUCAAUAUAGCGGGGGAAAGUUUAAUAUGUGCGGCAAGAAGAUCGAUUUAAGUUGAGGCAAAUGAUUUGGGUAGAGGCAAACUUCAUAUUCUGACAAGAGGUGGCAGCAGCAAGCUCGAGCUCGGUGGCGGCGAGCUGAUUAUGAUGGGGGAAUCCUGGUUUCUAACUGUUUGAUCUCGAUUUUGGGUAGUCAGGAUCUUUAUUCUUACUUCUUAAUUUUGAUUUGGGUGAUCAGGAACUCGAUUCAUGCUGGGGGAUCUCGAUUCUGGUGCUUCCUCUUCGGUUGCGUCGAGUCGAGAUUACCGCGGCGGGGCAUCGAGCUGGGAGACUUCUAGGACCUGUUCUCACAUCAGCGUGUGUGGCCUUCUAAAUGACUGUGAGGUCCGAUUUCAAAGAUGGGGUACUUUGUGUUGCCUUGAAAUCCCAUCUGACCUCCUCAUAUCAUUUAUCUGCCACCAACCGGUCAAAGUGCUCAAAAAAGACUGACCAUUGAUCCUGAAGAAAUCUGAUGAGGAUGUGGCGGCGUAAGUAGCAGGUGGCGUGAUGAUACUUUAUACUUGUGGAAGUAAUGGUAUUGGCACAUCCAUGUAGUUAUUCUGGGGAGGCGUAGGGAGAUUUGGUUGAGAAGCCAUUGGUGUUGUUGAGGAUUGAGGAAGAUGCCAAACUGGUGAUCUAUAUAUCUGUUGUAAUUGACGCCACUUUUCAGGAUAUGCAGUUUUUUCCCUCCAUUAAUUUCCGUAACUGCUGUGUGGCGCUAAAAAAAGGAAAAGCGUGCCGUAUGGGAGCACGAACGGAAUGACGUCUCCGUUUUCUCGGCGUACGGGAAAAAAAACAGAGGGCCCAGCCCAUAGCGGAUUGCUUCCACGUGUGCGGGGAUAUAGAUGGAGACACGCAAAAGAGAGGCAAGCUGCUGCCCUGCCAUGACACCCACUAUGAAAGCGCUUGCCGGAGACAGUAGGGAUCCAGCAGCCCAAAUCGAGAACAGAAAGCACAGCAGCUGCUACCAUUUUCAAACCAAGGUUUGCUCUCCGACACUUGGACACAUCUUUCCUGCCCCUCGUGGCAAGUGGCAUCAGCGAGACGACCUGAUGAUCCGAUGCUGCGAUUAGCGGGCAACUAUGUUGCACUCAGCAGUAGCAAUGUCAUCGCCGUCACAGAUGUGGUUGCGCGGUGAUCCGGUUGCCAUUACAUUCAGCCGCCAUCUGAAGAAACAUUCAUUCCCAGUCAGAUACUGUAUUUCAGCCCAUGUUGGUGAGGAGACAAGUAGUCGAAGAACUUGACCGCACCGAGCCAUUAUCAGGAAGUAAUACUUAUUGUACAUGUGUUCAUACAGCCAUUCUAGGAAAUGUACUAUGUACUAAUAAUGCUACAAUUAUUAGAGGCAUGCAUGUAGCAUUAUCAAAACUA